UAACGCGAAGAACCUUACCAAAUCUUGACAUCCUUUGAAAACUCUAGAGAUAGAGCCCCCCCCUUCGGAGACAAAGUGACAGGUGGUGCAUGGUCGUCGUCAGCUCGUGUCGUGAGAUGUUGGGUUAAGUCCCGCAACGAGCGCAACCCUUAUUGUUAGUUGCCAGCAUUCAGAUGGGCACUCUAGCGAGACUGCCGGUGACAAACCGGAGGAAGGCGGGGACGACGUCAGAUCAUCAUGCCCCUUAUGACCUGGGCUACACACGUGCUACAAUGGGCGAUACAACGAGUUGCGAAACCGCGAGGUCAAGCUAAUCUCUUAAAGUACGUCUUAGUUCGGAUUGUAGGCUGCAACUCGCCUACAUGAAGUCGGAAUCGCUAGUAAUCGCGGAUCAGCACGCCGCGGUGAAUACGUUCCCGGGUCUUGUACACACCGA
rnacentral:rRNA from 1 species